rnacentral:rRNA from 1 species
UCGAAUGCUGGCGGCAGGCCUAACACAUGCAAGUCGAGCGGAUGACGGGAGCUUGCUCCUUGAUUCAGCGGCGGACGGGUGAGUAAUGCCUAGGAAUCUGCCUGGUAGUGGGGGACAACGUUUCGAAAGGAACGCUAAUACCGCAUACGUCCUACGGGAGAAAGCAGGGGACCUUCGGGCCUUGCGCUAUCAGAUGAGCCUAGGUCGGAUUAGCUAGUUGGUGGGGUAAUGGCUCACCAAGGCGACGAUCCGUAACUGGUCUGAGAGGAUGAUCAGUCACACUGGAACUGAGACACGGUCCAGACUCCUACGGGAGGCAGCAGUGGGGAAUAUUGGACAAUGGGCGAAAGCCUGAUCCAGCCAUGCCGCGUGUGUGAAGAAGGUCUUCGGAUUGUAAAGCACUUUAAGUUGGGAGGAAGGGCAGUAAGUUAAUACCUUGCUGUUUUGACGUUACCGGCAGAAUAAGCACCGGCUAACUCUGUGCCAGCAGCCGCAGUAA